AUCCAGAUGAUGAGUCCCGAAUAUGACGAAAUGCGCAUCCUGCAU
rnacentral:hammerhead_ribozyme from 1 species